rnacentral:rRNA from 1 species
AUUGAACGCUGGCGGCAUGCUUUACACAUGCAAGUCGAACGGCAGCGCGGGCUUCGGCCUGGCGGCGAGUGGCGAACGGGUGAGUAAUACAUCGGAACGUGCCCAGUAGUGGGGGAUAGCUCAGCGAAAGCCGGAUUAAUACCGCAUACGACCUGAGGGUGAAAGCGGGGGAUCUUCGGACCUCGCGCUAUUGGAGCGGCCGAUGGCAGAUUAGCUAGUUGGUGGGGUAAAGGCCUACCAAGGCGACGAUCUGUAGCUGGUCUGAGAGGACGACCAGCCACACUGGGACUGAGACACGGCCCAGACUCCUACGGGAGGCAGCAGUGGGGAAUUUUGGACAAUGGGCGAAAGCCUGAUCCAGCAAUGCCGCGUGUGUGAUGAAGGCCUUCGGGUUGUAAAGCACUUUUGGCGGGAACGAAAAGGACUGUGCCAAUACCACGGUUCGAUGACGGUACCCGCAGAAUAAGCACCGGCUAACUACGUG